rnacentral:rRNA from 1 species
GCCAGACUCCUACGGGAGGCAGCAGUGGGGAAUAUUGCACAAUGGGCGAAAGCCUGAUGCAGCAACGCCGCGUGAAGGAAGAAGGGUUUCGGCUCGUAAACUUCUAUCAACAGGGACGAAAGAAAUGACGGUACCUGAAUAAGAAGCCCCGGCUAACUACGUGCCAGCAGCCGCGGUAAUACGUAGGGGGCAAGCGUUAUCCGGAUUUACUGGGUGUAAAGGGAGCGUAGACGGCGGCGCAAGUCUGGAGUGAAAGCCCGGGGCCCAACCCCGGGACUGCUCUGGAAACUGUGCAGCUAGAGUGCAGGAGAGGCAGGCGGAAUUCCUAGUGUAGCGGUGAAAUGCGUAGAUAUUAGGAGGAACACCGGUGGCGAAGGCGGCCUGCUGGACUGUGACUGACGUUGAGGCUCGAAAGCGUGGGGAGCAAACAGGAUUAGAUACCCGCGUAU